rnacentral:rRNA from 1 species
GCGAACGGGUGAGUAACACGUGGGCAAUCUGCCCUUCACUCUGGGACAAGCCCUGGAAACGGGGUCUAAUACCGGAUAACACUCCUGUCCUCCUGGACGGGGGUUGAAAGCUCCGGCGGUGAAGGAUGAGCCCGCGGCCUAUCAGCUUGUUGGUGAGGUAAUGGCUCACCAAGGCGACGACGGGUAGCCGGCCUGAGAGGGCGACCGGCCACACUGGGACUGAGACACGGCCCAGACUCCUACGGGAGGCAGCAGUGGGGAAUAUUGCACAAUGGGCGAAAGCCUGAUGCAGCGACGCCGCGUGAGGGAUGACGGCCUUCGGGUUGUAAACCUCUUUCAGCAGGGAAGAAGCGAAAGUGACGGUACCUGCAGAAGAAGCGCCGGCUAACUACGUGCCAGCAGCCGCGGUAAUACGUAGGGCGCAAGCGUUGUCCGGAAUUAUUGGGCGUAAAGAGCUCGUAGGCGGCUUGUCACGUCGGGUGUGAAAGCCCGGGGCUUAACCCCGGGUCUGCAUUCGAUACGGGCUAGCUAGAGUGUGGUAGGGGAGAUCGGAAUUCCUGGUGUAGCGGUGAAAUGCGCAGAUAUCAGGAGGAACACCGGUGGCGAAGGCGGAUCUCUGGGCCAUUACUGACGCUGAGGAGCGAAAGCGUGGGGAGCGAACAGGAUUAGAUACCCUGGUAGUCCA